AUGUGAUAUGAUAACUAAUAAUAGCUUGGAUCUGCUAUUGGAAAACUAUUAAGAAUAGCAAUAACCACUACAAUUUGUUUAAAUCAUCUAGCCAAACUGUUAGCAGCUACUCAUGAAUCAGGGUCCACUUCUCGUAAAACCACUAGGUAGGUAAGUGAACCAAUGUGGGAAAUUUGUCAGCUUCCAAGCAUGUUUAGCUAUCGAAUGGACCCGGAGGAUCACUGAGCCAACUGUGAGACAAUCAGGAUGCUCAACAUGAAGAUGCGGAUGAAGACCUUUUUGAUGAUCCACUUCCACUUAAUGAAUAGCAGGUCUUCCAGGAGUUAUUCCAGAAGAAGGCAUUGUUAUCAUAGGAAAUGACAGCUACAUGCAUGUUUGUGCCCCUGAAGACUCUGAGGACCUUUCACUGGGACAAGAUGUGGAGAUGGAAGACAGUGAUAUUGAUCAUCCUGACCCUUAUAGGGCUAAGCUAA